rfam:Triticum aestivum genome assembly, contig: Triticum_aestivum_CS42_TGACv1_scaffold_374281_5AL
AAUAUACUCCCUCCGUCCGAAAAUACUUCGCAUCAAAAUGGACAAAAAAGGAUGUAUCUAGAACUAAAAUAUGUCUAGAUACAUCUCCUUUUAUCCAUUUUGAUGACAAGUAUUUCUAGACGGAGGGAGUACAUG